GGGUCAGUAGGUUGGUCGUGCCACCGGUACGUACUGGUCCCACUGAUUCCUCCUUCCUGAAGAACCGUAAUGCCAUUAAGUUGGUGUUGCGGGGAAACAGGACUGUUACUUUGAAAAAAUUAGAGUGUUUAAAGCAAGCUAACGCUUGAAUACAUUAGCAUGGAAUAAUGAAAUAGGACGAUCGAUCCUAUUUUGUUGGUUUCUAGGAUUGACGUA
rnacentral:rRNA from 1 species